GCAUAACGCGAAGAACCUUACCAAGGCUUGACAUGCAUCUCUAAGCGCGUGAAAGCGCGUGACCCUUCGGGGGAUUUGCACAGGUGCUGCAUGGCCGUCGUCAGCUCGUGUCGUGAGAUGUUGGGUUAAGUCCCGCAACGAGCGCAACCCUUGUGACUAGUUGCCAGCACGUUAUGGUGGGAACCUCUAGUCAGACUGCCCAGAUCAACCUGGGAGGAAGGUGGGGACGACGUCAGGUCAGUAUGGGCCCUUGCGCCUUGGGCUGCACACGUACUACAAUGCCCAGCACAAUGAGAACCGAGACCGCGAGGUGGAGGAAAUCUAAAAAACUGGGCCCAGUUCGGAUUGGAGGCUGCAACUCGCCUCCAUGAAGUUGGAAUC
rnacentral:rRNA from 1 species